rnacentral:tRNA from 1 species
UAUAAAGUGCCUGAUUAAAGGGUUAUUAUGAUAUAAUAAAUUAAGUAUUUUUAUUUAUACCUUUAUAU